rnacentral:lncRNA from 1 species
UGUCGGUAAAGGUCAGGGGUAUGUUUAUGGUGCUUCUGAGUCAUCCUCGUUAGUGGGGUCUUCUAUUUUGGGUUCUGAUGGUGAGAAAAACGUAGCAGAAAUAACUUCUGAAAGAGAAGUGGAGAUGGAAGUUGACACUGCGAAGGAAUGAACUGACACUGCUUAUUGGCCCCUCGAUCCAAAUGUGCGUAUUACCGAGCUUCUACAAUACAAUCUGAAUCUCGAAGAAAAACUAUGUUUUAGAGGGAUGUCUACUGUUGAACUUUUGGAUAUGGCAUAUGAGCUUAACGUUUGGG